rnacentral:misc_RNA from 1 species
GUGAAUCAUCAAAUUUUUGAACGCAAAUUGCACUCUCCGGUUUUCCGGGAGAGGAUGCCUGUUUGAGGGACUGUUUAAAAAAUAAUCGAAGCUGCUGCUGUUGCGGCGAUUCGGAAUUGGGUCAUCUUCUACCUUUCUGGGGUGUAAGCGACCGAAAAUUUUUCAUAGGAUUUCUACGUACGUUUU